rnacentral:misc_RNA from 1 species
UGGCACGCCCGAAGUCGUUACUCCAACCCUUGUGGAGGAGGAUGCCGAAGGUGGGGCUGAUGACUGGGGUGAAGUCGUAACAAGGUAGCCGUACCGGAAGGUGCGGCUGGAUCACCUCCUAACAGGGAGACAAUACCUGAUCGUGAUGUCUGAGUACUUUAUUCUCAGGCCAUGAUCCUGUCAUCUCGAAGGUCGAUCGGUACCUCAACUUGAGGGUAAGAGAAGAGCUGAGCAAUCAGUUUGGAGACUUACGAAUCAAUUUCAGUUCCUAAACUUUGUCUAGGUCACCCCACAGAGGGUAAAGCCGAGAGCACGAGCAGCAAUGCGAGUGCUGAACUGGCAAGCCGAAAGGCGAGCUGGAUGCGGCAACAACUCCUGGGCCAUUAGCUCAGGUGGUUAG